UGGGGAAUAUUGGGCAAUGGAGGCAACUCUGACCCAGCAACGCCGCGUGAGCGAUGAAGGUCUUCGGAUUGUAAAGCUCUUUAAGUGGGGACGAAGAAAGUGACUGUACCCACAGAAUAAGCCUCGGCUAACUACGUGCCAGCAGCCGCGGUAAUACGUAGGAGGCAAGCGUUAUCCGGAAUGACUGGGCGUAAAGGGUGCGUAGGUGGUUCGGCAAGUUAGUAGCGUAAUUCCGGGGCUCAACUUCGGAUCUACUACUAAAACUGUCGGGCUUGAGUGCAGGAGGGGUAAAUGGAAUUCCCA
rnacentral:rRNA from 1 species